GACAGAGGGUACAAACGUUGUUCGGAUUUACUGGGCGUAAAGCGCGUGUAGGCGGCUUGGCAAGUCGGAUGUGAAAGCCCACGGCUCAACCGUGGAAGCGCAUCCGAAACUGCUUCGCUCGAGUCUCGGAGAGGAAGGUGGAAUGCUUGGUGUAGAGGUGAAAUUCGUAGAUAUCAAGCAGAACACCUGCGGCGAAGGCGGCCUUCUGGACGAUGACUGACGCUGAGACGCGAAAGCGUGGGGAACAAACAGG
rnacentral:rRNA from 1 species